CUGGUUGAUUCUGCCAGUAGUCAUAUGCUUGUCUCAAAGAUUAAGCCAUGCAUGUCUAAGUAUAAGCAAUUAUACCGCGAAACUGCGAAUGGCUCAUUAAAUCAGUUAUCGUUUAUUUGAUAGUACCUUACUACAUGGAUAACCGUGGUAAUUCUAGAGCUAAUACAUGCUAAAAAUCCCGACUUCGGAAGGGAUGUAUUUAUUAGAUUAAAAACCAAUGCCCUUCGGGGCUCUCUGGUGAUUCAUAAUAACUUCUCGAAUCGCACGGCCUUGCGCCGGCGAUGGUUCAUUCAAAUUUCUGCCCUAUCAACUUUCGACGGCUGGGUCUUGGCCAGCCGUGGUGACAACGGGUAACGGAGGGUUAGGGCUCGACCCCGGAGAAGGAGCCUGAGAAACGGCUACUACAUCCAAGGAAGGCAGCAGGCGCGCAAAUUACCCAAUCCCGACACGGGGAGGUAGUGACAAUAAAUACUGAUACAGGGCUCUUUCGGGUCUUGUAAUUGGAAUGAGUACAAUUUAAAUCCCUUAACGAGGAACAAUUGGAGGGCAAGUCUGGUGCCAGCAGCCGCGGUAAUUCCAGCUCCAAUAGCGUAUAUUAAAGUUGUUGAGGUUAAAAAGCUCGUAGUUGAACCUUGGGCCUAGCCGGCCGGUCCGCCUCACCGCGUGCACUGGCUCGGCUGGGUCUUUCCUUCUGGAGAACCGCAUGCCCUUCACUGGGUGUGCUGGGGAACCAGGACUUUUACUCUGAAUAAAUUAGAUCGCUUAAAGAAAGGCUAUGCUCGAAUACAUUAGCAUGGAAUAAUAGAAUAGGACGUGUGGUUCUAUUUUGUUGUUUCUAGGACCGCCGUAAUGA
rnacentral:rRNA from 1 species